rnacentral:rRNA from 1 species
CUGCGAAUGGCUCAUUAAAUCAGUUAUCGUUUAUUUGAUAGUACCUUACUACAUGGAUACCUGUGGUAAUUCUAGAGCUAAUACAUGCUAAAAACCCCGACUUCGGAAGGGGUGUAUUUAUUAGAUAAAAAACCAAUGCCCUUCGGGGCUCCUUGGUGAAUCAUAAUAACUUAACGAAUCGCAUGGCCUUGCGCCGGCGAUGGUUCAUUCAAAUUUCUGCCCUAUCAACUUUCGAUGGUAGGAUAGUGGCCUACCAUGGUAGCAACGGGUAACGGGGAAUUAGGGUUCUAUUCCGGAGAGGGAGCCUGAGAAACGGCUACCACAUCCAAGGAAGGCAGCAGGCGCGCAAAUUACCCAAUCCCGAUACGGGGAGGUAGUGACAAUAAAUACUGAUACAGGGCUCUUUUGGGUCUUGUAAUUGGAAUGAGUACAAUUUAAAUCCCUUAACGAGGAACAAUUGGAGGGCAAGUCUGGUGCCAGCAGCCGCGGUAAUUCCAGCUCCAAUAGCGUAUAUUAAAGUUGUUGCAGUUAAAAAGCUCGUAGUUGAACCUUGGGCCUGGCUGGCCGGUCCGCCUCACCGCGUGUACUGGUCCGGCCGGGCCUUUCCUUCUGGGGAGCCGCAUGCCCUUCACUGGGCGUGCCGGGGAACCAGGACUUUUACUGUGAAAAAAUUAGAGUGUUCAAAGCAGGCCUUUGCUCGAAUACAUUA